rnacentral:rRNA from 1 species
AGGCCAAUCAAACCCGGAGAUAUCUCGUUCUCCCCGAAAUAGCUUUAGGGCUAGCGUCGCGCGUUCACCGCCGGAGGUAGAGCACCGGAUGGACGAGGGGGCUUCGCCGCCUACCGAAUCCAACCGAACUCCGAAUGCCGGCGGCCCAGAGCGCGGCAGUCAGAGCAUGUGGGCUAAGCUGUGUGCUCGAGAGGGAAACAGCCCGGACCGCCCGCUAAGGUCCCCAAGUUCCAGCCGAGUGGCAAAGGAUGUGCGUCCGCCCAGACAACCAGGAUGUUGGCUUAGAAGCAGCCAUCCAUUCAAAGAGUGCGUAACAGCUCACUGGUCGAGUGGACAUGCGCCGACAAUACACGGGGCUAAGCUGGACACCGAAGCGGCGGGAUUUUGAUUUUCAGAAUCGGUAGGGGAGCUUCCCAUGGGCGGUGAAGCCGCCGGGCGACCGGCGGUGGAGCGCAUGGGAGUGAGAAUGCUGGCAUGAGUAGCGAGAGACGAGAGAGUAACUCGUCCGCCGUGAACCCGAGGUUUCCUGGGCAAGGCUAAUCCUCCCAGGGUCAGUCGGGGGCUAAGGCGAGGCCGGGAGGCGUAGCCGACGCGCAGCAGGCAGACAUUCCUGCACCGCGCACGCGGCGCUACGACCGACGGGGCGACGGAUGGGGGUGGCUCGGCGGGGUUCUGGACGUCCCCGUGAUGGAGCGCGGCCCGCGGACCAGGGAAAUCCGGUCCGCACGAGGGCGAGGCUCCGGACGAAGCGAUUGAGCGAAGCGAGUGAGCCCGAGGUCCCUAGAAAAACCCCUAGGCAGGCGCGUGCGCGCCCGUACCGCAAACCGACACAGGUGGGUGGGUAGAACAUACCGAGGCGAUCGGGUCAACCAUGGUCAAGGAACUCGGCACAAUGGCCCCGUAACUUCGGGAGAAGGGGUGCCCGCGCGUACGUGAACGGACUUGCUCCGGGAGCGGAGGCGGGCCGCAGUGGAGAGGCCCAAGCGACUGUUUACCAAAAACACAGGACUCUGCAGAAGCCGCAAGGCGACGUAUAGGGUCUGACGCCUGCCCGGUGCCGGAAGGUCACGCGGAGGAGUUAGCGCAUCGCGCGAAGCCCCGAAGCCAAGCCCCGGUAAACGGCGGCCGUAACUAUAACGGUCCUAAGGUAGCGAAAUUCCUUGUCGGGUAAGUUCCGACCUGCACGAAAGGCGCAACGACUUGGGCGCUGUCUCGACCAUGGACCCGGUGAAAUUGCACUGGUCGUGAAGAUGCGACUUACCCGCGGAAGGACGGAAAGACCCCGUGAACCUUCACUGCAGCUUGGCAUUGGCCGCUGGUCCCGCGUGUAGAGGAUAGGCAGGAGGCACAGAUCCGGAGGCGCCAGCCCCCGGGGAGCCGCCCUUGGAAUACUGCCCUCGCGCGACCGGCGUCCUAACCCGAGGCCGUCAACCGGCUCGGGGACCGUGCCAGGCGGGCAGUUUGACUGGGGCGGUCGCCUCCUAAAGGGUAACGGAGGCGCGCGAAGGUCCGCUCGGGACGGUCGGCAACCGUCCUUUUGAAUGCAAGAGUACAAGCGGGCUUGACUGCGAGGCCCACAAGCCGAGCAGGUGCGAAAGCAGGCUCUAGUGAUCCGGCGGCCCCGAGUGGGUGGGCCGUCGCUCAACGGAUAAAAGGUACUCCGGGGAUAACAGGCUGAUCUUGCCCAAGAGUCCACAUCGACGGCAAGGUUUGGCACCUCGAUGUCGGCUCAUCGCAUCCUGGGGCUGGAGCAGGUCCCAAGGGUACGGCUGUUCGCCGUUUAAAGCGGUACGCGAGCUGGGUUCAGAACGUCGUGAGACAGUUCGGUCCCUAUCCUCCGUGGGCGCAGGAGAAUCGAUGGAGGCUGCCCCCAGUACGAGAGGACCGGGGUGGACGCACCUCCGGUGAACCGGUUGUCGACCAACGGCACGGCCGGGUAGCCGCGUGCGGCGCGGAUAACCGCUGAAGGCAUCUAAGCGGGAAGCCGUUCCAGGGAUUAGUUCUCCUUCCGGUAAGGGCCCAGGUAGACUACCUGGUCGAUAGACGGCAGGUGCAAGGGCGGCGACGUCCUCAGCCGAGCCGCACUAAUCGCCCGAGCUCUUCCGGAA